CCUACGGGGAGCAGCAGUGGGGAAUUUUGCGCAAUGCUCGUAAGAGUGACGCAGCGACGCCGCGUGAAUGACGAAGGCCUUCGGGUCGUAAAGUUCUUUCGACAGGGAAGAAAAUGCCUAUAAGUAACUGUGUAUGUAUUGACGGUACCUGUAUAAGCAGCCCCGGCUAACUCCGUGCCAGCAGCCGCGGUAAUACGGAGGGGGCGAGCGUUGUUCGGAGUGACUGGGCGUAAAGAGCACGAAGGCGGUGUUGUAAGUCAUUAGUCAAAGACUAGAGCUCAACUUUAGUAAGGCUAGUGAUACUAUAAUACGAGAGUAUCAGAGAGGAUUGCAGAAUUCCUGGUGGAGCGGUGAAAUGCGUAGAUAUCAGGAGGAAUACCGUUAGCGAAGGCGGCAAUCUGGCUGGAAACUGACGCUGAGGUGCGAAAGCGUGGGUAGCAAACAGGAUUAGAUACCCGGGUAGUC
rnacentral:rRNA from 1 species